GACGAACGCUGGCGGCGUGCUUAGCACAUGCAAGUCGAACGGAAAGGCCCUUCGGGGUACUCGAGUGGCGAACGGGUGAGUAACACGUGGGUGAUCUGCCCUGCACUUUGGGAUAAGCCUGGGAAACUGGGUCUAAUACCGAAUAGGACCACGCGCUUCAUGGUGUGUGGUGGAAAGCUUUUGCGGUGUGGGAUGGGCCCGCGGCCUAUCAGCUUGUUGGUGGGGUAAUGGCCUACCAAGGCGACGACGGGUAGCCGGCCUGAGAGGGUGACCGGCCACACUGGGACUGAGGUACGGCCCAGACUCCUACGGGAGGCAGCAGUGGGGAAUAUUGCACAAUGGGCGCAAGCCUGAUGCAGCGACGCCGCGUGAGGGAUGACGGCCUUCGGGUUUUAAACCUCUUUCAAUAGGGACGAAGCGCAAGUGACGGUACCUAUAGAAGAAGCACCGGCCAACUACGUG
rnacentral:rRNA from 1 species